UGCCUUACAUUGUUUUGUUUUGAAGGU
rnacentral:piRNA from 1 species